AGAGUUUGAUCCUGGCUCAGGACGAACGCUGGCGGCACGCUUAACACAUGCAAGUCGAACGAGAGAAGAGAAGCUUGCUUUUCUGAUCUAGUGGCGGACGGGUGAGUAACACGUGAGCAAUCUGCCUUUCAGAGGGGGAUACCGAUUGGAAACGAUCGUUAAUACCGCAUAAUAUAAUUGAACCGCAUGAUUUGAUUAUCAAAGAUUUAUCGCUGAAAGAUGAGCUCGCGUCUGAUUAGCUAGUUGGUAAGGUAACGGCUUACCAAGGCGACGAUCAGUAGCCGGACUGAGAGGUUGAUCGGCCACAUUGGGACUGAGACACGGCCCAGACUCCUACGGGAGGCAGCAGUGGGGAAUAUUGCACAAUGGAGGAAACUCUGAUGCAGCGAUGCCGCGUGAGGGAAGAAGGUUUUAGGAUUGUAAACCUCUGUCUUCAGGGACGAAAAAAGACGGUACCUGAGGAGGAAGCUCCGGCUAACUACGUGCCAGCAGCCGCGGUAAUACGUAGGGAGCGAGCGUUGUCCGGAAUUACUGGGUGUAAAGGGAGCGUAGGCGGGAUCGCAAGUCAGAUGUGAAAACUAUGGGCUUAACCCAUAAACUGCAUUUGAAACUGUGGUUCUUGAGUGAAGUAGAGGUAAGCGGAAUUCCUAGUGUAGCGGUGAAAUGCGUAGAUAUUAGGAGGAACAUCAGUGGCGAAGGCGGCUUACUGGGCUUUAACUGACGCUGAGGCUCGAAAGCGUGGGGAGCAAACAGGAUUAGAUACCCUGGUAGUCCACGCCGUAAACGAUGAUUACUAGGUGUGGGGGGACUGACCCCUUCCGUGCCGCAGCAAACGCAAUAAGUAAUCCACCUGGGGAGUACGACCGCAAGGUUGAAACUCAAAGGAAUUGA
rnacentral:rRNA from 1 species